CCAAUAGCGUAUAUUAAAGUUGUUGCAGUUAAAAAGCUCGUAGUUGAAUUUCGGGGUCAGUAGGUCGGUCGUGCCACUGGUAUGUACUGGUCUCACUGAUUCCUCCUUCCUGAUGAGCUGUAAUGCCAUUAAUUUGGUGUUGCGGGGAAUCUGGACUGUUACUUUGAAAAAAUUAGAGUGUUUAAAGCAGGCUAACGCUUGAAUACAUUAGCAUGGAAUAAUGAAAUAGGACGUUCGAUCCUAUUUUGUUGGUUUCUAGGAUUGACGUAAUGAUUAAUAGGGAUAGUUGGGGGCAUUAGUAUUCAAUUGUCAGAGGUGAAAUUCUUGGAUUUAUUGAAGACUAACUACUGCGAAAGCAUUUGCCAAGGAUGUUUUCAUUAAUCAAGAACGAAAGUUAGGGGAUCGAAGACGAUCAGAUACCGUCGUAGUCUUAACCAUAAACUAUGCCGACUAGGGAUCGGAUGAUGUUAAUUUUUUAAUGACUCAUUCGGCGCCUUACG
rnacentral:rRNA from 1 species